AAUUAAAGGACGAAGUUGGAAUACAUUUAUCUUUUUAUUAAGCUACUAUGCCAAGUGUUUGGGGAACAUGAUUGAAGCAAAUGAUAAUGAUUUGAGAAAUUCAAUAGAAGCAAAUGACAAGUAUUCGACAAAAAGCUUGGACAUGAACCCCUACAAAAUGUAUCUUGAUUACAACAAAUUUUUCAUCACUACAAAGGAGUUGCAUAUAUUGUUAGACAAGGUAGUACUCAGACAGGAGAGCAGCUCCUGUGAUAAUCGUCAAGCAAAGCAAGCAUAUAAGAGAAAGUCCAACUGGCUUGCAACCCAAUUUUCAACAUUCUGACCGUUGGGAUUUGCAAUAUAACAUCUUGAGUAUCAGGUAUGAUUUUUUUUAAUCGAAGCAGUAAAAUUUGAGCUGGAUCAGUUCGCCCAGGCGAGCCAAAUUUCGUUUGGGCGAGUGUUGCAAGCUACAAAUACGUCUAGCAGCGCAAAAGAGUCAUUUCUUUCUCCUUCUCUUCCAAAAAACCCUCCCCCAACACCCCCAACCUCCUCCUCCACCACCACUCACCACUGGUGACCGCCAUGAGCCGCCUUUGCUUGUCGUCGGAUCACCACACGAAAAAGAAUAGUUUAAUCGGAGCGGAAUCUUCAAAAGUCAACUCGAGGAUUCGGUAGAGAAUGAAGCUUCCAAUCCUUCAUUUAUGGUUUC